rnacentral:lncRNA from 12 species
UUUUCCUAGAAUCCAUUCAACGUUGCGCAUGGCAAUUUCCUGUGCGAUUUUUAUUUUCUUUCCUCCCCUUGUGUUCUCCUAAAAUUUGGUGAUGGAAAACCAACUGGUAACUUCGGUUUUCAAGGAAAAUGAGAAGGAGCAUCAUCUUCAAAAAAAGACUCUUGUAGUGUGUUGUUCUUCAUGCUCCUGCCUAAACAGAUCCCAAAGAAGCUCUGACUUGGCCUUUGCUUCUGGAACGGCUUGCAGGUGUUAG